CUACGGGGGGCUCCAGUGGGGAAUAUUGCACAAUGGAGGAAACUCUGAUGCAGCAAUGCCGCGUGGAGGAUGACACUUUUCGGAGCGUAAACUCCUUUUAUAUAGGAAGAAGAUGACGGUACUAUAUGAAUAAGCGCCGGCUAGCUCCGUGCCAGCAGCCGCGGUAAUACGGAGGGCGCAAGCGUUACUCGGAAUCACUGGGCGUAAAGAGCGUGUAGGCGGAUUAAAAAGUCAGAAGUGAAAUCCUAUAGCUUAACUAUAGAACUGCUUCUGAAACUCUUAAUCUAGAAUAUGGGAGAGGUAGAUGGAAUUUCUGGUGUAGGGGUAAAAUCCGUAGAGAUCAGAAGGAAUACCGAUUGCGAAGGCGAUCUACUAGAACAUUAUUGACGCUGAGACGCGAAAGCGUGGGGAGCAAACAGGAUUAGAUACCCCAGUAGUC
rnacentral:rRNA from 1 species